UCUGCAAGUGACGAGGAAGAAGACAGGGACAUCAGCACUCUUUAUUGAGAAUGAUGACUUGGUCUAUGGGAAUCUCUCUGAUGCCGA
rnacentral:snoRNA from 1 species